AGCAGUAGCCGCGGUAAUACGUAGGGUGCAAGCGUUAAUCGGAAUUACUGGGCGUAAAGCGUGCGCAGGCGGUUAUAUAAGUCAGAUGUGAAAUCCCCGGGCUCAACCUGGGAACUGCAUUUGAGACUGUAUGGCUAGAGUGUGUCAGAGGGGGGUAGAAUUCCACGUGUAGCAGUGAAAUGCGUAGAUAUGUGGAGGAAUACCGAUGGCGAAGGCAGCCCCCUGGGAUAACACUGACGCUCAUGCACGAACGCGUGGGGAGCAAACAGGAUUAGAUACCCGCGUAGUCCCUGUCUCUUAUAC
rnacentral:rRNA from 1 species